CGAUGGCAGAUGAUCGCUGGUGAGCAGGAAUGUUUCGCCAGAGGAAAGUCCGAACACCAUACGGCAGCAUGCCGCGUAAAACACGCGGGCGGCCCCGGCGUAAGUCGGGAUCGACGGAAAGUGUCACAGAGAAGACACCGCCGGUUCUUUGGCAACGAAGCGCAGGUAAGGGUGAAAAGGCGAGGUAAGAGCUCACCGCUCGCAAAGUAAUUUGCGAGGCACGAAAAACCCCAUGCGGUGCAAGACAAAACAGAGGGAGGACCGCCGGUCCGUUGAUCCUCGGGUAUCGUCGCAUCACGAUCCCGCACCCGCGGGAUCGGGCCGCUCGCGCAAGCGAGCGGAGAUAAAUGAUCAUCGCGUCCCGCGCCUGCGGGACGACAGAAUUCGGCUUAUCGCCAUCGAAAU
rnacentral:RNase_P_RNA from 1 species